GUUACUGGUCAGAAGACGUUCUUGACUGUAGAGGAGAGGAAUAAUAAAAGGAUAGUGGGCAGGGGUCUGCAAAGAAAGGGGUCGUUAGGGAGGAAAGAGCCCCUUCAGGAGAAGGAGGAUGCCGUUGUGUGAAUUAAAUGAGGAAACAAGAUGAACAAGAUCUGUUAACUCAGGGAAGGAGGGAGGAGGGAGAGAGAGAGGACAUGAAGGGUGGGGGGUAGAGCAAAUGGAGGAAAGAGAAAGAGAUAAAAAGAAGGGAGGGGAAGAGAGACAAGGACAAGGGAUGGGCCCUAACCAGUCAGCAGUCUGAGGGGAAUGAGUGGCCAUGGCGGCACCGGCAACAAGGAAGGGUCCAGUCAACUACUGCUGCUGUUUGGGGCUACCAAGGCCAUUGGCGGAGGCAGGCAGGCAGGCAAGGGACAGACCUGGGCCUGUCAGCGGCCUGAGGGGAACGAGCAGCCAUGGCAGUGGUGGCAGCGAGGAAGGGCUCCUGUGUGGGUGUGGAGGGGCAGGAGAGGAGCGGGGCUCAGAGGUCUCUGGGGAUAGGAGGCUGCAGCUUGGCCAACAGGCACCAGCAACGCUGCAGCCACAACCAGGAGAGAUGAGGGGGAUGGAGUAAAGGGAUGGAGGAGUGAUCAAGAGGGGUGAGGGGGGUGGAAGAAAUGGGAUGGAGGAGUACUGUUCAACCAUUCUAAAAGAACUACACUGGCUGCCCAUACAUUUUCAGGCAAAAUACAAACUACUAAUUUUCACCUAUAAAGCCCUGAAUGGCUUGGGUCCAAGGUAUUUAAGAGAAUGUGUUCUUCAUGAACCCUGCUGCCUAUUAAGAUCAUCUGGGGAAGUCGAGUUGCAGUUGCCACCAGUUUGGUUGGUGGCAAAUCAAAACAGGGCCUUUUCUAGGGUUGCCCCGGGACUUUGGAACACGCUUCCUAACAAUGAGAGCCUCUUUUCUCUGGAUGUUUUUACGAAAGACCUGAAAACAUACCUGUUUAGUCAGGCUUUUGGUUUAUAGUUUAAAAGUAUAAAGUUUGGGAGCUUUUAUCUGUAUUUUAAACUGUUUUAAUUGUGUUUUUAGAUUGUGAACGGCACAGGGAUUUGUGUAUGGGGCAGUAUAAAAGUGUGUGGAAUAAAAUAAAUACAUGUCAGAAGGCCAUCAGUGAUGGGGUCACAUGAGCUUCUUUUGUGAGGGCAUUCUAUAGCUAGAUGCCAUCUAGGGACCAAAAACACCUGCCUUAAGCACUCCUUCCUUUGUAAUUCAGAUGCCCAGUGUAACAGGAAUGGCAGAUGCCCCAACAAUGCAACUGGCUGUUGACAAGAUCUACCCAAGGAGAUUGCUUGGCAAGCAACUUGCUAUGCCACACACCCAAGAGCAGAAGCAGAAAGAAUGAAGCAACUCACUUAGCAGGAUAAAACUUGGAUUGACAGAUACCACUUUGCUUACCCGGAAAGUGGCUGUGAGAUUUGAAAGCACUGUAGUGAAAAAAGGACUGUGGGUAUUUCAACAAAAGAUAGCAUGCAAUGAAUAGCAUCUCAGCAAGCCUUUGACCAGCAUGCCUUCUGCAUUCCACUACCAAAGUCCAAGCUGCAGAAGAAGGGCAUGAAACAGUCGUGGAACUCUCUCCCUGAGGAUGUCUGUAUGAGUCUUGUCUAUGGCUGUUUUCCAAAGUCACUGUUAACCUUUCCUGUUAGAUCAGUUAUUCCACUAUCAUAUGCUUCCUCUUGUCCUCACUUAACACACAGUGCAGAUAAAGGGAUGAUGACAUCAUAGCUGGGAGACCAAGCAAGUUCAUGUUAAGAACAACACAUAUUCUAUUCAUUUGCACUAAGAAUAGUGAAUGUGCUGCAAGGCUUCUUUCAGAGAGAGUAUUAGAAAAACAUCUUUAAAUAUGCCAUACAUUAAAGGCUCCACAUUGUCUCCAAUGCUUUUUAACAUCUACAAGAAACCGCUGGGAAAAAUUAUCAGGAGGUUUGGUGCUGGGUGUUAUAAAUAUGCUGAUGACACCCAGAUCUACUUCUCCAUGCCGACCUCAUCAGGAAAUGGCAUAUUUUCCCUAAAUGCCUACCUGGAGGCAGUAAUAGGCUGGAUGAGGGAUAACAAACUGAAGUUGAAUCCAAAUUGAAGUUGACGGUGGGGGGCCAGGACCCGAAAGAUGGUUUAGAUAUGCCUGUUCUGGAUGGGGUUACACUCCCCAUGAAAGAUCAGGUACAUAGCUUGGGAGUGCUCCUGGAUCCAAAGCUCUCCCUGGUUUCUCAGGCUGAGGUGGCAGCCAGGAGCGCUUUUUAUCCGCUUUGGCUGAUACAUCAGCUACAUCCAUUUCCAGAGGUGAAUGACCUUAAAACAGUGGUACAUAUGCUGGUAACCUCCAGGUUUGACUACUGUAAUGUGCUCUACAUGGGGCUGCCUUUGUAUGUAGUCCAGAAAUUAAAAUUGGUACAGAAUGCGGCAGCCAGAUUGGUCUCUGGGACAACAUGAAGGGACCACAUAACACCAGUUCUGAAAGAACUGCACUGGGUGCCAAUAUGUUUCUGGGUGAAAUACAAAGUGCUGGUUCUUACCUAUAAAACCCUUAAUGGCUUAGGUCCAGGCUAUUUAAGAGAGCGCCUCCUUUGUCAUAAACCCUGCCACCUGUUGCAAUCUUCUGGAGAUGUCCGGUUAUGGAUGCCACCUGUUUGUUUGGUGGCUGCCGCAGGGCUUUGGAAUAUGCUCCCUACUGAAAUAAGAGCAUCUCCUUCUCUGUUUGUUUUCAGGAAGAACCUCAAGACUUUCCUGUUUUUGCAGGCUUUUAAUUAGAAUUUUAAUAAUUUUAAAAACUUGUUUUAAUAACUAUUUUAUUCUAUUGUUUUUAUUGUCAUGUAUUUUAAUCUGUAACUUUUAAAUAUUUUAAAUUUUGUAUACUGCCAAGAGAUGUACGUAUCAAGCAGUACAGAAAUAUGAUAGAUAGAUAGAUAGAUAGAUAGAUAGAUAGAUAGAUAGAUAGAUAGAUAGGAUAGACAGACAGACCAUGAUGUCAGUACACCAUCUUGAAACCAGUCUGCAUCCCACCAAUAAAACAAUGAUAUGAUAUUA